CCUACGGGCGGCAGCAGUAGGGAAUGUUGCGCAAUGGGCGAAAGCCUGACGCAGCAACGCCGCGUGAUCGAGACGACCUUCGGGGUGUAAAGAUCUGUAAGUGGGGACGAAACGUGACGGUACCCACAGAGGAAGCCCCGGCUAACGACGUGCCAGCAGCCGCGGUAAUACGUAGGGGGCAAGCGUUAUCCGGAUUUACUGGGUGUAAAGGGAGCGUAGACGGCAGCACAAGUCUGGAGUGAAAUGCCGGGGCUUAACCCCGGAACUGCUUUGGAAACUGUGCAGCUAGAGUGCAGGAGAGGUAAGUGGCAUUCCUCGUGUAGCGGUGACAUGCGUCGAUAUUAGGAGGAACACCAGUGGCGAAGGCGGCUUACUGGACUGUACCUGCCGUUGCGGCUCGACAGCGUGGGGAGCAAACAGGAUUAGCUACCCUUGUAGUC
rnacentral:rRNA from 1 species